ACAGCAGUAGCCGCGGUAAUACGAAGGGGGCUAGCGUUGCUCGGAAUGACUGGGCGUAAAGGGCGCGUAGGCGGUGGCCAAAGUCAGGCGUGAAAUUCCUGGGCUCAACCUGGGGGCUGCGCUUGAUACUUGGUUGCUUGAGUGGGGAAGAGGGUCGUGGAAUUCCCAGUGUAGAGGUGAAAUUCGUAGAUAUUGGGAAGAACACCGGUGGCGAAGGCGGCGACCUGGUCCUUGACCGACGCUGAGGCGCGAAAGCGUGGGGAGCAAACAGGAUUAGAUACCCGCGUAGUCCCUGUCUCUUAUAC
rnacentral:rRNA from 1 species